UCAUGGCUCAGAUUGAACGCUGGCGGCAGGCCUAACACAUGCAAGUCGAACGGUAACAGAAAGCAGCUUGCUGCUUUGCUGACGAGUGGCGGACGGGUGAGUAAUGUCUGGGAAACUGCCUGAUGGAGGGGGAUAACUACUGGAAACGGUAGCUAAUACCGCAUAACGUCGCAAGACCAAAGAGGGGGACCUUCGGGCCUCUUGCCAUCGGAUGUGCCCAGAUGGGAUUAGCUAGUAGGUGGGGUAAAGGCUCACCUAGGCGACGAUCCCUAGCUGGUCUGAGAGGAUGACCAGCCACACUGGAACUGAGACACGGUCCAGACUCCUACGGGAGGCAGCAGUGGGGAAUAUUGCACAAUGGGCGCAAGCCUGAUGCAGCCAUGCCGCGUGUAUGAAGAAGGCCUUCGGGUUGUAAAGUACUUUCAGCGGGGAGGAAGGGAGUAAAGUUAAUACCUUUGCUCAUUGACGUUACCCGCAGAAGAAGCACCGGCUAACUCCGUGCCAGCAGCCGCGGUAAUACGGAGGGUGCAAGCGUUAAUCGGAAUUACUGGGCGUAAAGCGCACGCAGGCGGUUUGUUAAGUCAGAUGUGAAAUCCCCGGGCUCAACCUGGGAACUGCAUCUGAUACUGGCAAGC
rnacentral:rRNA from 1 species